rnacentral:rRNA from 1 species
UACGUAGGUGGCAAGCGUUGUCCGGAAUUAUUGGGCGUAAAGCGCGCGCAGGCGGCCUUUUAAGUCUGAUGUGAAAGCCCACGGCUCAACCGUGGAAGGUCAUUGGAAACUGAAAGGCUUGAGUACAGAAGAGGAAAGCGGAAUUCCACGUGUAGCAGUGAAAUGCGUAGAGAUGUGGAGGAAUACCGAUGGCGAAGGCAGCCUCCUGGGCCAACACUGACGCUCAUGCACGAAAGCGUGGGGAGCAAACAGG